rnacentral:rRNA from 1 species
CUACGGGUCGCUGCAGUGGGGAAUAUUGGACAAUGGGCGAAAGCCUGAUCCAGCCAUGCCGCGUGAGUGAUGAAGGCCCUAGGGUUGUAAAGCUCUUUCGCCAGGGACGAUAAUGACGGUACCUGGAUAAGAAGCCCCGGCUAACUUCGUGCCAGCAGCCGCGGUAAUACGAAGGGGGCUAGCGUUGUUCGGAUUUACUGGGCGUAAAGCGCACGUAGGCGGAUUUUUAAGUCAGGGGUGAAAUCCCGAGGCUCAACCUCGGAACUGCCUUUGAUACUGGAAGUCUCGAGUCCGGGAGAGGUGAGUGGAACUGCGAGUGUAGAGGUGAAAUUCGUAGAUAUUCGCAAGAACACCAGUGGCGAAGGCGGCUCACUGGCCCGGAACUGACGCUGAGGUGCGAAAGCGUGGGGAGCAAACAGGAUUAGAUACCCUUGUAGUC